AACCAGCACUCUGGUCUGUGACAGACAGAGACAGCUGGCUGGGGCUACAUGGAGCCUCCUGGAGGCCCAGCAGUGGGCUGGUGGAUGGCAGGAGCUUUGGAGUCAGAUAGAGCUGAGUUCAGAUCCCGGCUCCAUGAUGGGAACUCGGGCAAUGUCCGGAGACCAAGGAUGUUGGCUGACCUCUGGAGGAAAUCUGCUCAUCAUUCUUAGGUCUGUGAGUGAACAGACUCCAAAAACUCAGUGGUCAUCUGUCCUGGAAUUCGAUUUUUUCCUCCUCAGCCAACUUCUGAUGCUCUGCCACUUCCUUUUCUGCAGGCUGCAAAAACCUCAUGGACCCUGGAGAAAGAUGCAUGAGUUUUCACUGCAUCGUGGAUGCUAGCAGCCCUUGGUGCUCCUUAGAGAUGAAAACCAGAAAGCCUCACUUUCCUAUCAGCCCUUUCAAGCUGCCUCAGAGGAAACUCAUCUCACCGAGUGAGCAUCUCAAUUUCAAGAUGAAGUGUUUAAUUUACCUGAAGGGGUGGUCUUAGAUGACAUUCCCCUGGCCAGGGCGCUCACUUUACACAUCCAUAAAAUGGGGCCUGCGAUACUGACCUCACGUGGUUGUUGUGU